rnacentral:pre_miRNA from 1 species
CGUGUACCGGUGGGGUCCCUCAGCCUGGCCUGUACCCUCUCACAACCCGAGACCCCUCAGGGGAUGUCAGGGAGCCAGUUUCAGCCCAAUCCUUGCAGGCCAGGCUGGGGGACCCCACCAGUGCACG